rnacentral:sRNA from 1 species
GAGCCACCGCACCUGGCCUAGGUCUUAGAUCUGGUAUUCCCUCUCGAAUGGUUUCCACUCAACAAGCCCAGUGUUGGGGACUAUUUCCACAUGGCCUACAACGUCAUCACACCCUUUCUCUUGCUCAAGAUCGACUCCUUUGAGCUGCUCUACUAUUAUGAUGAGUACCUGGGUCACUGCAUGUGGUACAUCCCCUUCUUCCUCAUCCUCUUCAUGUACUUCAGCGGCUGCUUUACUGCCUCUAAAGCUGAGAGCUUGAUGCCAGGGCCUGCCCUGCUCCUGGUGGCGCCCAGUGGCCUGUACUACUGGUACCUGGUCACCGAGGGCCAGAUCUUCAUCCUCUUCAUCUUCACCUUCUUCGCUAUGCUGGCCCUCGUCCUGCACCAGAAGCGCAAGCGCCUCUUCCUGGACAGCAACGGCCUCUUCCUCUUCUCCUCCUUCUCACUGACCCUCUUACUUGUGGCGCUCUGGGUCGCCUGGCUGUGGAAUGACCCUGUUCUCAGGAAGAAGUACCCAGGUGUCAUCUACGUCCCUGAGCCCUGGGCUUUCUACACCCUUCACGUCAGCAGUCGGCAC